rnacentral:rRNA from 1 species
AGACAGGUGCUGCAUGGCUGUCGUCAGCUCGUGUUGUGAAAUGUUGGGUUAAGUCCCGCAACGAGCGCAACCCUUAUCCUUGUUUGCCAGCACGUAAUGGUGGGAACUCCAGGGAGACUGCCGGUGAUAAACCGGAGGAAGGUGGGGACGACGUCAAGUCAUCAUGGCCCUUACGAGUAGGGCUACACACGUGCUACAAUGGCGCAUACAGAGGGCAGCAAGCUAGCGAUAGUGAGCGAAUCCCAAAAAGUGCGUCGUAGUCCGGAUUGGAGUCUGCAACUCGACUCCA